GAUGAACGCUAGCGAUAGGCCUAACACAUGCAAGUCGAGGGGCAUCACAUGAAGUAGCAAUACGGAUGGUGGCGACCGGCGCACGGGUGAGUAACACGUAUGCAACCUGCCUUCAACAAGGGGAUAACCCGUUGAAAGACGGACUAAUACCCUAUAACACAGGGGUCCCGCAUGGGAAUAUUUGUUAAAGGACAACCGGUUGAAGAUGGGCAUGCGUUCCAUUAGCUAGUUGCGGGUAACGGCCCACCAAGGCAACGAUGGAUAGGGGAACUGAGAGGUUUAUCCCCCACACUGGUACUGAGACACGGACCAGACUCCUACGGGAGGCAGCAGUGAGGAAUAUUGGUCAAUGGACGCAAGUCUGAACCAGCCACGUCGCGUGAAGGAAGACGGCCCUACGGGUUGUAAACUUCUUUUAUACGGGAAUAAAGUGCCCCACGCGUGGGGUUUUGCAUGUACCGUAUGAUAAGGAUCGGCUAAC
rnacentral:rRNA from 1 species